GGGUGCGAUCAUACCAGCACUAAUGCACCGGAUCCCAUCAGAACUAUGAAGUUAAACGUGCUUGGGCGAGAGUAGUAGUAAGAUGGGUGAGCUCUUUGGAAGUCCUCGUGUUGCACCCC
rfam:Ricinus communis cultivar Hale ctg_1100012291577, whole genome shotgun sequence.